rfam:Ictidomys tridecemlineatus contig023340, whole genome shotgun sequence.
CUGAGGUAUCUACCUUGGGGCCAUGGGAAGCAUCAGAAGGUCUCUCACGUGGGAGACAAGCCAAACCUGUUUAAUAUUUAAACAGCAGUGUUCCCC